rnacentral:rRNA from 1 species
CAAAAAACAUAGGUCGAGUCGCAUGCUCCGGCCGCCAUUGUUAGAGUUUGAUCCUGGCUCCUCAUCCACUCGCUGGCUGCAAAGCUUACACAUGCAAGUCGAACGGGAGUGAAUACGUCAGUGGCGGACGGGUGAGUAACACGUGAGCAAUCUGCCUCAUACAGGGGGAUAACACUGAGAAAUCAGUGCUAAUACCGCAUAAGACCACAGUACCGCAUGGUACAGGGGUAAAAGGGUUACCGGUAUGAGAUGAGCUCGCGUCCCAUUAGGUAGUUGGUGAGGUAACGGCCCACCAAGCCUGCGAUGGGUAGCCGACCUGAGAGGGUGAUCGGCCACACUGGAACUGAGAGACGGUCCAGACUCCUACGGGAGGCAGCAGUGGGGAAUAUUGGGCAAUGGAGGAAACUCUGACCCAGCAACGCCGCGUGAGUGAAGAAGGUCUUCGGAUUGUAAAGCUCUGUGGAUAGGGAUGAAAAAAAUGACAGUACCUAUACAGCAAGCCACGGCAAACUACGUGCCAGCAGCCGCGGUAAUACGUAUGUGCCAAGCGUUGUCCGGAAUGACUGGGCGUAAAGGGUGCGUAGGCGGCUUAUCAAGUUAGAAGUGUAAUACCUGGGCUCAACUUAGUGCUACUUCUAAAACUGAUGAGCUUGAGUGCGGGAGAGGUAAGUGGAAUUCCUAGUGUAGCGGUGGAAUGCGUAGAUAUUAGGAGGAACACCAGUGGCGAAGCCGACUUACUGGACCGUAACUGAACGCUGAGCACGAAAGCGUGUAGCAACAGGAAUAAAUACCCUGCUAGUCCACGCCUAACGAUGGAUACUAGUGUAGGGGUUCGACUCCCCUGUGCCGUCCCAAACGCAUAGUUCCGCCUGGGGAGUACGCCGCAGUGAACUCAAGAAUGACGGGAACCCGCCAGCAGCGGAAAUGGG